rnacentral:rRNA from 1 species
UACGUAGGGUGCAAGCGUUAAUCGGACUUACUGGGCGUAAAGCGUGCGCAGGCGGUGAUGUAAGCCAGAUGUGAAAUCCCCGGGCUCAACCUGGGAACUGCAUUUGGGACUGCAUCGCUGGAGUACGGCAGAGGGGGAUGGAAUUCCGCGUGUAGCAGUGAAAUGCGUAGAUAUGCGGAGGAACACCGAUGGCGAAGGCAAUCCCCUGGGCCUGUACUGACGCUCAUGCACGAAAGCGUGGGGAGCAAACAGG